GAUGAACGCUAGCGGGAGGCUUAACACAUGCAAGUCGAGGGGCAGCAUAGGGUAGCAAUACUCUGAUGGCGACCGGCAAACGGGUGAGUAACGCGUAUGCAACCUACCCUGUACAGGGGGAUAACCCGGAGAAAUUCGGACUAAUAUCCCGUAAUAAUAUCCGGAGGCAUCUUUGGAUAUUUAAAGUUCCGACGGUACGGGAUGGGCAUGCGUAACAUUAACUGGUUGGUAAGGUAACGGCUUACCAAGGCUAUGAUGUUUAGGGGUCCUGAGAGGGUGGUCCCCCACACUGGUACUGAGACACGGACCAGACUCCUACGGGAGGCAGCAGUGAGGAAUAUUGGUCAAUGGGCGCAAGCCUGAACCAGCCAUCCCGCGUGCAGGAAGACGGCCCUAUGGGUUGUAAACUGCUUUUCCAGGGAGAGAAACUUACGCACGUGUUGCGUGACUGACGGUACCUGGGAAUAAGCAUCGGCUAACUCCGUGCCAGCAGCCGCGGUAAAACGUCUA
rnacentral:rRNA from 1 species